rnacentral:rRNA from 1 species
UGCAUAUCAAAUAAGCGGAGGAAAAGAAACCAACAGGGAUUGCCUCAGUAGCGGCGAGUGAAGCGGCAAGAGCUCAGAUUUGAAAUCGUGCUUUGCGGCACGAGUUGUAGAUUGCAGGUUGGAGUCUGUGUGGAAGGCGGUGUCCAAGUCCCUUGGAACAGGGCGCCCAGGAGGGUGAGAGCCCCGUGGGAUGCCGGCGGAAGCAGUGAGGCCCUUCUGACGAGUCGAGUUGUUUGGGAAUGCAGCUCCAAGCGGGUGGUAAAUUCCAUCUAAGGCUAAAUACUGGCGAGAGACCGAUAGCGAACAAGUACUGUGAAGGAAAGAUGAAAAGCACUUUGAAAAGAGAGUGAAACAGCACGUGAAAUUGUUGAAAGGGAAGGGUAUUGCGCCCGACAUGGGGAUUGCGCACCGCUGCCUCUCGUGGGCGGCGCUCUGGGCUUUCCCUGGGCCAGCAUCGGUUCUUGCUGCAGGAGAAGGGGUUCUGGAACGUGGCUCUUCGGAGUGUUAUAGCCAGGGCCAGAUGCUGCGUGCGGGGACCGAGGACUGCGGCCGUGUAGGUCACGGA